AUUGAACGCUGGCGGCAUGCCUUACACAUGCAAGUCGAACGGUAACAGGUCUUCGGACGCUGACGAGUGGCGAACGGGUGAGUAAUACAUCGGAACGUGCCAGUCGUGGGGGAUAACUACUCGAAAGAGUGGCUAAUACCGCAUACGAUCUGAGGAUGAAAGCGGGGGACCUUCGGGCCUCGCGCGAUUGGAGCGGCCGAUGGCAGAUUAGGUAGUUGGUGGGAUAAAAGCUUACCAAGCCGACGAUCUGUAGCUGGUCUGAGAGGACGACCAGCCACACUGGGACUGAGACACGGCCCAGAUUCCUACGGGAGGCAGCAGUGGGGAAUUUUGGACAAUGGGCGAAAGCCUGAUCCAGCAAUGCCGCGUGCAGGAUGAAGGCCUUCGGGUUGUAAACUGCUUUUGUACGGAACGAAAAAGCUUCCCCUAAUACGGGAGGCCCAUGACGGUACCGUAAGAAUAAGCACCGGCUAACUACGUGCCAGCAGCCGCCGUAAUAC
rnacentral:rRNA from 1 species